GGGGGGGGCGGGCGGGGUGGGUGGGGCGGGCGGGUGGGGGGGUGAGGGGGGGAGCUUGCUGGUGCGGGGUGGGGGGCGAGCGGGGGGGUAACACGUGAGUAACCUGCCCCCUUCGUCUGGAUAACCGCGUGAAAGUGUGGCUAAGACGGGAUAUUCUGGGGCUGUCGCAUGGCUGGCCCGGGAAGGAGAUUGCUUCGGUGGGGGCUGGGCUCGCUGCCUCUCAGCUUGUUGGUGGGGGGAUGGCCUAUCAAGGCGGUGACGGGUAGCCGGCCUGAGAGGGUGGACGGUCAGAAUGGGACUGCGACACGGCCCAGACUCCUACGGGAGGCAGCAGUGGGGAAGAUUGCACAAUGGGCGCAAGCCUGAUGCAGCGACGCCGCGUGAGGGAUGGAGGCCUUCGGGUUGUAAACCUCUUUCGCCAGUGAAGCAGGCCUGCUCCUUGUGGGUGGGUUGACGGUAGCUGGAUAAGAAGCGCCGGCUAACUACGUG
rnacentral:rRNA from 1 species